rnacentral:sRNA from 1 species
UUUUCAGUCAUCUUCU